GAACGCUGGCGGUCUGCUUAACACAUGCAAGUCGAACGGGCUCUUCGGAGCUAGUGGCGGACGGGUGAGUAACGCGUGAGAAUCUGCCCUUAGGACGGGGACAACAGCUGGAAACGGCUGCUAACACCCGAUGUGCUGAGAGGUGAAACAUUAAUGGCCUGAGGAUGAGCUCGCGUCUGAUUAGCUAGUUGGUGGGGUAACGGCUCACCAAGGCGACGAUCAGUAGCUGGUCUGAGAGGAUGAUCAGCCACACUGGGACUGAGACACGGCCCAGACUCCUACGGGAGGCAGCAGUGGGGAAUUUUCCGCAAUGGGCGAAAGCCUGACGGAGCAAGACCGCGUGAGGGAAGAAGGUCUGUGGAUUGUAAACCUCUUUUGACUGGGAAGAAGACAGUGACGGUACCAGUCGAAUCAGCCUCGGCUAACUCCGUGCCAGCAGCCGCGGUAAUACGGAGGAGGCAAGCGUUAUCCGGAAUUAUUGGGCGUAAAGCGUCCGUAGGUGGCUAUCCAAGUCUGCUGUCAAAGCAUGGAGCUUAACUCCAUAAAGGCAGUGGAAACUGGGUGGCUAGAGUGCGAUAGGGGCAAGGGGAAUUCCCAGUGUAGCGGUGAAAUGCGUAGAUAUUGGGAAGAACACCGGUGGCGAAAGCGCCUUGCUGGGUCUGCACUGACACUGAGGGACGAAAGCUAGGGGAGCGAAAGGGAUUAGAUACCCCUGUAGUCUUAGCUGUAAACGAUGGGUACUAGGCGUUGUCCGUAUCGACCCGGGCAGAGCCGUAGCUAACGCGUUAAGUACCCCGCCUGGGGAGUACGCUCGCAAGAGUGAAACUCAAAUG
rnacentral:rRNA from 1 species